rnacentral:rRNA from 1 species
UACGUAGGGUGCAAGCGUUGUCCGGAAUUAUUGGGUACGGUAAGAGCUCGUAGGCGGUCUGUUGCGAUUCGGCUGUCGAAACCCGGGGCUCACCCGGGCCUGCAGCCGAUACGGGCAGACUAGAGUUCGGCAGGGGAGACUGGAAUUCCUGGUGUAGCGGUGAAAUGCGCAGAUAUCAGGAGGAACACCGGUGGCGAAGGCGGGUCUCUGGGCCGAUACUGACGCUGAGGAGCGAAAGCGUGGGGAGCGAACAGG